UGGGAAGCACAUGGACCCUGUGUAUGAGCCUGGUUUAUUUGACCCAGACAUGCCAUUGUUUUGCUAAGGAUAGCUCAAGUCCAUUUUCAGUUGGAUGAACUAAUCUAGCUAAGGGACAGAACAGUCAUGUACAGGGAAGGGCUCUCUCAAGUGCUGCAAGGGCCACUCCAGUCUGCUUCCACGGGCUGGCCUGUGUCGAGCACCCACCGGAAGCUGCCAGCCUGCUGAGGGCCCCCGAUGAGACUCAUGUUGCACAUUUGCUAUUUUGGUCCAACAAUGCAGGUCCCUUCCGGUUUUGGGAGCUGGUCUCCUGGCACUCAUCGAGGGCCCAGCUUCGAGAGGCCUCCGCGAGCCAGGCAUUGAGCUUCCAGCCUGAAGGGAGAGAGUUCUUCUGGUUUUAAAUCCCACUAAAUGCUGACCAUAGCUUGUUGUCAGCAGGGAGGGGAAGAUCAAGAGGGAGGAUGGAAGAGAAUGGAGAGGUGGUAACAAGAGCUAAGACUGAUGGCCCAGAAGCUUGCCUUCUUCCCCAGCGGCUCUGCUUCACCAGGGCUGUCUUUGCCACAGGGAGAGUUCCUUGCCUGGAGCCAAUUGCAAGCUGAUUGGGGGUUGGGGGUUGUGUCUCUGUGUCCAUCUUGCACGGUCAGAAUUUGGGCCUCAUUGUCAGACAUUUGGCUACUGUUCUUGAAGCUCUAAAUUCCUCCUUCAGGGAGAGAAUUGCUCAUUUCCCCUCAUACUCCCAGCCCGGUGGCUGGCACAGAGCAGGUAGGCAGCACCCUUGAACCGAGAGAACAAGCGUCUGUGGGUAACGGUCCCCUGAACAGACCAGGUGCCUGGAGGGCAGAGCCCCAGUCUGGUUGUCUCUGCAGAAGCUCUGAGAACUGCCGCCAUUCAUUGCUGCUACUGUCCAGGUUCAGAGCUGAGUGUGCUACAUGGUUCUCUCAUCCAGUCCCCGCUCCACUACCCUGACUGAAGGUGAUCUUGCCAUGCCUAACUUGCAGGGCAUCAAACUAGGGUGUAGGGAGGCUAACUUGCUAAUGCUCACACAGCUAAUGAUGGGGCAGCAGCCCGGCUCCUGUGCCCAAGCCUUGGCCAUCAUGCUGGACCAUUUCCCUCACCUCCCCCUGGCUACAGUCCGGUGCACCCAGCAGUGGCUCAAAAGCCCCUCGGAGGCGUAUAGAAGGUGGAAUCAACCCCUUUGGAACAAUGUUUGACUUGGUAUCACUGCCUUCUUCCAGGGACUCUACUUCUUUGAGAGAUGAUCAACAUCACAGGAAUUGAACAUGCAACCAAUAGGUACUGAGUACUCUGCUUCCAGCACUUUGAUGCCCCAAGGAGGAAUACAGGUCAGCCCCAGACAUGCUUCCUGCCCUCUAGGAGCUCACAUGGGUGGAGAAGAGGCAGCACGGAGCGCUGAAGAGGAUUCUGAGGAUGAAAGAGACCAGGACCAAUUAGCAACAUCAUCCGGGAAAGUAGGGGGAAGGCGGUGACCUGCGCUCCACACUUGUCAGCCCUGGAUCCCUGGCCUAAGGACCUGUCACCUGCUGAAGCCUGGCUGCCUGCCUUGCAGGGGAGGCAGGGGUCGGGCAGUCAGAAGGAGGGCUUGGGCAGGGGGCAGAGCAGCCCCCAGAAGAUCCUCUGUCUCCUGCAUUUCCAGCGGGCUCCAAUGACCACUGCCGGGAGAUGCUCCAUUUCUGCUGCAUCAGAGCUGUUUCAAACUCUGUUCACCUGUAAUAAGGGAGAUUCUCCGGGAAACAUUACCGUAUUGGACGUUUGGGCCACCCAGGCUCAAAGCAGCCCGGACUGUCUUCCUCCCCAGGUCCCUCUGUGACUGAGCACCCAUGGCAGGAGUGACUUCUCCCAUCCCAGAGACAGGCUCUGAGCACUGCUCCUGACACCCACAGUCUUAGGGAUCCAGAUAAUGUAAGCGCAGC